rnacentral:rRNA from 1 species
UACAGAGGUCUCAAGCGUUGUUCGGAUUCAUUGGGCGUAAAGGGUGUGUAGGUGGCGCCGUAAGUCGGGUGUGAAAUCUUGGAGCUUAACUCCGAAACUGCAUUCGAUACUGCCGUGCUUGAGGACUGGAGAGGAGACUGGAAUUUACGGUGUAGCGGUGAAAUGCGUAGAUAUCAGGAGGAACACCGGUGGCGAAGGCGGGUCUCUGGGCCGAAAUUGACGCUGAGGAGCGAAAGCGUGGGGAGCAAACGGG